ACGAGAGAAAGACAGACAGACAGAGAGACAGAGAGACAGAGAGAGAGAGAGAGAGAGAGAGAGAGAGACUCUUUAAUUCGAUUGAUAAUAAAUGUUUGCGUUUUGUACGUAGCCAAGCGUGCAUGGUAUAUACGUGGCAUGUGGCAAGAGCAGUAUUUGUUCAGGCACGAACGACAAAUAAGACUCUUAGAGAAGCGGAGAAGAGAGAGAGAGAGAGAGAGGGAGAGAGAGAAAUAUACGCAUGCAUAUCUCGUAGUCGCGUCCCUUCGGCCCUUUUGUCGUACGCAUAACACACACGCGCGCGCGCGCGCCCGCGAGCGCGCCUUCUCUCAGCAAUGACGUAAGAACGUUUUCUAUUUAACGCAGAGGGUUUGGCGAGCAUAGAAAGGGAGAGAGAGAAGACUUUCCAUCCCGAGUUGGAAGCGAGGAUACGAAACGAGUGACACUGCGAGAACGCAUUGUGAAAGACGAGCUUGUGCGUCGUGUCGAGGGCUGCGAACGAUAUCAUUCGUCCUCACGAUCAUAUAUAUAUAUAUAUGUAUGUGUGUGUGUAUAUAUAUAUAGCUACAUACACAUAUCUAUAGAUAUGUAUCCACGUAUUUACUUUCUUCGUUGGAUCUUCAACUUAUGAAAUUUAUUUUUGGAAAUGAUUCGUUUGCAUUUACGAUAUGCAAUUCGAUAUGUAGAGAUAGUUGAAGAAGAUAAGAGAGAAAGAAAGAGAGAGAGAGAGAGAAGGGGAAGUACUUUGCUAACAUAAACUCGUAGAAACUUUGCGAUGGAAUUUACUCGUUCCUUUUCCGUAGAUACGUGUCAGCGACACCCCUUGUGUCGCGUAUUUCACGCAUCCUCGAUGGUAAAUUGAAGAGAACCCUUUCCGUGAAGCUAUCUCUGUUAUCUUCCUUUCCCAAAGAUCGAGGAUAUAGAUAAGUACUUACUUACUUACACGCUUAUCAUUUAACUUAAUAAUCGUAAGGAAACGAUCGUAAUUUAAUACCAUCGAACUUGUAACAUUUUAUAUCGAUUAAUUGAUAAUAAUUUACGUAAAUUACUUCGCAUAAUCGUAUGUAGGUUCUACUGUGCAUUAAUUAAUUAAUUAAUUAAUUAAUUAACUAAUUAAUUAUUUAAAUAAUUGUUAUCACGAUUUGUUUAUUACGCGAGGAAAACAAGGAAAAAAAAACACAGAGAAAAGGAGUGAAAAAAAAACAAACAAACAAAAAAACAAUAAAAAAUAACAAAGAAAUAUGACACAAGUUUCACGCUUCCGCGUGUCUAAACUUGAACGAGAGAAACCGUAUCGGAUUAUAGCAUGGUGUACCUACUCGAGAUAAAACAAUGAAUGACGCAGCAGCCUUUUUACAACGAACACAAUGCUACCAGAAUGACACAAUUAGGUGGUUUUGCAGUACGCUCAACGUCGCUACAACACUGCACAACGAUGACACAAACUUUCCCCUCUGCACAUUCGUAUAUACGAUACGCAUACGUAAGGAGAUAUUACUCGUAGGUUCGAUGCACUUUGCGAAUGGCCCGCGCGAUAAUAUCACAGGUGGAUGUCUCGACGUCGUCGUCGUUGUUUACGUCGGUAGAGAAAUAAGAAAGUAUGGAAGUAAGUACGGUCGACCGAUUAACAACCACGUGACGAGGUCGGCUAAAAAGAAAAAGAAGAAAAAAGAAAGAAAAAGGAGAAGAAAAAGAGAAGAGAGAACUUGUUGAUCACGCGUGUAAAAAUGAAAUAGAAUAAUUCUUUCGGAUGGUCCUUUCAUUCUGAGCAAGAAAAAUAAUUAUUAACGAACAAACAGCAAUUGAUAAACAAUACAUAAAUAAACACAAAUUGGGACGAAUCAUAUAUUACAAAAUUUUGCUUACAACAGACCGUUGUAAAUAUUUCUAAAAAAAUUAGCAAUCGAUCCUUUCGAUCGGUCGAGAAUUUAACAGGAUG